CAGAUUUUCUCUUCCUCUUCUUCUCUAUAUGAGUACUUCAUUCUCUCUUAUUCUCUUCAUCUCUUCUCUAAACUCAAACGACGUCAGUCGUCACACAGACAAGAUGCUGAUAAUAUUCUACUGCUUUCUCCUCACUCUUCUGUCAUGGGUCAAAUGUGCUAAAGUGGUUACUCAGAAACCCUCGAUACUAACAGAACAAAAAGGGAGAUCUGUGACUAUGGACUGUAACAUUGAAAAGGACGAGAAUAAUUAUACUGAGGAGGUUUUUGUACAGCAGAACAUAUGAAAUGUAUCACUGUGGUAUUCGGACAAGGAACAAAACUCUUUGUGAAUGAUGCUGCUGCUGCUGCUCCUGUGCUGAACAUCCUCCGUCCGUCCAGAGAAGAGCUGAGCUCCAGUAAACUCACUCUGGUGUGUCUGAUCAAUCACAUGUCUGGGGCUUUUGCUGAUGUGCGUUGGUUUGUGAACGAGAACUCAGUUACUGAAGGCGUCUUCACUGGAUCUGCUGAACAGCAGCCUGAUAAGAAAUUCAAGCUGAGCAGUUAUUUAACCCUUGAGAGCUCAGAGUGGGACAAAGACACACAGCUGACAUGUGAAGCAUCUGCUGCCUCCAAAACCACCAGAAAAAGCAUCAAGAAAUCUGACUGCAGCGACUGAACUGCUUGAUCUCCUCUUGAUUUAAGUGAUAGCAUUUCAAUUUGUUUGCAUGGAGUAGAAAACAUUGAAUAUUAAAAAUAAAGUGCCUUACUGUAGUUGCUUCAUGUUUAAAUGUACUGUGCUUUAUAAACUCCAAUAAACUGCAUGUUAAUCAAA